rnacentral:rRNA from 1 species
AUUGAACGCUGGCGGCAGGCCUAACACAUGCAAGUCGAGCGAGCGGCGGACGGGUGAGUAAUGUAUGGGGAUCUGCCCGAUAGAGGGGGAUAACUACUGGAAACGGUGGCUAAUACCGCAUACUAUCGGAUGAACCCAGAUGGGAUUAGCUAGUAGGUGGGGUAAAGGCUCACCUAGGCGACGAUCCCUAGCUGGUCUGAGAGGAUGACCAGCCACACUGGAACUGAGACACGGCCCGGACUCCUACGGGAGGCAGCAGUGGGGAAUAUUGCACAAUGGGCGCAAGCCUGAUGCAGCCAUGCCGCGUGUAUGAAGGAGGCCUUAGGGUUGUAAAGUACUUUCAGCGGGGAGGCGUUACCCGCAGAAGAAGCACCGGCUAACUCCGUGCCAGCAGCCGCGGUAAUUC